rnacentral:rRNA from 1 species
GAUCUUUAUUUUUAUUAUUUAUAAAUUUAAAAGAAUUUUAAUAUUUAUAUUUAGUAUAAAAAUUUUAUUGGGGUGAUAUUAAAAUUUAAAAAACUUUUAAAAUUUGUUAACAUAAAUAUAUGGUUUAUUGAUCCAAUUGUAUUGAUUAAAAGUUUAAGUUACCUUAGGGAUAACAGCGUAAUUUUUUUUUAGAGUUCAUAUCGACAAAAAAGAUUGC